CUAGAGAGACACGGGUUAAUUAUAGUUGUAGAGAGCUGUACGCAGCCCCCCCAGGUGUAGGAAACCUAGAGAGACACGGGUUAAUUAUAGUUGUAGAGAGCUGUACGCAGCCCCCCCAGGUGUAGGAAACCUAGAGAGACACGGGUUAAUUAUAGUUGUAGAGAGCUGUACGCAGUCCCCCCAGGUGUAGGAAACCUAGAGAGACACGGGUUAAUUAUAGUUGUAGAGAGCUGUACGCAGCCCCCCCAGGUGUAGGAAACCUAGAGAGACACGGGUUAAUUAUAGUUGUAGAGAGCUGUACGCAGCCCCCCAGGUGUAGGAAACCUAGAGAG